rnacentral:lncRNA from 1 species
ACAUUCUGCUGCUUCCGGCUGCUGACGACCACAUGGGCCCCGUCCUGGGCCAAACGCCGGGCGAUGGCGAAGCCGAUCCUGUGAGCAGAAAGAGACAAAGACUGCUAAGGCCUGUGCAGGGGAAGAGGUCGACAGUAUGAGCUCUGAAGUUAAGACUGCCCGGGUUUGAAUUCUGGCUCUUUCUCUAUAUAACCCCUACGUGUGCCUACUAUGUGUAAAACAGGCUUAAUGGCAUGGCCAUUUUUGGCAUUCCUUUACUUGUUUUUAUUAUGACCUGGACCACAGCCUCAGUUCCCAAGAACUGACAUCACUUUCUACAGUUCCCACCAUGGGUGACAGGCUUCAUCCCCUCUUGGGACUGAGAGGUGCCACUUCGGAUAAACCCUUUGGACUCCUAACUCCAAUCAGGUGUCUGCUUUGUUGAGGACUCACAGACACAGUCUCCUUUCUUCAAGAUCUUUACAAUGCAAGACCUCACUAACACACAGGGAUGGUCUCCCAGAGGGUCUGUGCUGUUCCUUCACUCAGAACAUCAAGAUGCACUGAAGUAAGGAUCCUCUAUUCUACAGUUCCUGCUAGCUGAGCUAUUCCAUGGGGGCUUCAGCAGGAAAUUCCAAGGUUGGCUUUGACAAGCUAAGGCCGGCUGGUGGAGCACAUCGAGUUCUGGAGGUUCAUGUGUGUUUUCAUGAAGAUCUGUCUGCCCGUAGCAGAUAAAGAGUUGUUGCCCCACUCCUCCUGGGGUCUUCUAUUUUCCUGGGAGGAAUUUCUGGAUUAACUGAACACACACACACACACACACACCCUUUUGAAGCAUCAACAGUAAUUCUGAGUUCUUAGGGACAAUGCAGAUUAAAUCCACAAUAAGAAAGACAACUAUGGCCAGGUGUGGUGGCUCACGCCUGUAAUCCCAGAACUUUGGGAGGCUGAGGCGGAUGGAUCACCUGAGGUCAGGAGUUAGAGACCAACCUGACCAACAUGGAGAAACCCCGUUUCUACUAAAAAUGCAAAAUUAGCCGGGCAUGGUGGCAGGCGCCUGUAAUCCCAAAUACUCGGGAGGCUGAGGCAGGAGAAUCACUUAAACCCGGGAGGCAGAGGUUGCAGUGAGCCAAGAUCGCGCCAUUGCACUCCAGCCUGGGCAAGAAGAGCAAAACUCCAUCUCAAAAAAAAAAAAAGAGUACUAUUGAUCCAGAGGUGACCAGACUAGCCUCACUGGAGAUAAUAGGUGACAUUAUUAUGCAAAGUGGUUUCAGUUCCCUUGUCUUGUUUUUGGAAUAGUAUAAGAGGCCUACAAUACGAAUAAAUAAGGCCCAUCACAAGCCUCACCAAAGGACAAAACUAAUCCACUUCUGAAGAAGGCUCUUUGUUGGGCCAGAUCAAAUCCUUGGACAGAACUGUACUCUUAAUCUCUGUAGUGAAAGUGGGGGGUAGUUUAAGAAUUUAUUAACCUUCUACCUUGAGCAAUCCCUCAGAAGUAAGAGGUGUCAGGCCUCUGAGCCGAAGCUCAGCCAUUGUAACCCCUGUGACCUGCACAUAUAUGUCCAGAUGGCCUGCAGGAGCCAAGAAGUCUGGGGCAGCUGAAAAACCACACAAGAAGUAAAACAGCCAGUUCCUGCCUUAACUGAUUAACCAACAUUACAACAUUCCACCAUUGUGACCUGUCCCUGUCCUACCUUAACUGAUCAAUCGACCUUGUGACAGUCUUCUUCUGGACAAUGGGUCUUAUCAUCUCCCCACCAUGUACCUUGUGACCCCCUCCUCUGCUAACAAUAGAUAACCACUUUUUACUGUAAUUUUCCAUUACCUACCCAACUCCUAUAAAGCAACCCCUUCCCCAUCUCCCUUCACUGACUCUGUUUUCAGACUCAGCCCACUUGCACUCAAGUGAAUAAACAGCCUUGUUGCUCACACAAAGCCUGUUGGUGGUCUCUUCACACAGAUGUGCUUGACAAAAGGGAAGGGUGGAUUUGUCCUUCUGGUUACAUAUGUUCUGCUCACUCAUUUUGAAUUUAAUUAAACAAGGAUUGCCCUUACCUUUUCAUACUUUGUAAGAAACCAUAAAUACUUAUGCACCAUGAUUUUUUUAAAGAAACACUUUUUAUUUUGAAGUAAUUAUAGUCUCAUAGGAAGUUGCAAAAGUAGUACAUAGAGUCCCUGAGUACUCUUCCCCCAGUGGUGACAACUGUAGUAUAAUAUCAAUUCUGGGAAAUUGACAUUGGUACAAUACCAAAUAUACUAUGCCUUUUUCUCUAAGGCAUGAUGUUGCAGUAGCAUCCUUGUACAUGUAGCUAGGAGAACUUGUACUAAGCCCAGAUAAAUAGUUGAAGUACAAGGGCAAGGAGUGUGUCUUUGAUAUUUUAAUAGAAAUCACCUAUUGCCCUCUAGAAAAGCUGUACCCUUUUCCAGUGGCAGAGAACCUUCCUGAAAGGCAGUCCUGUGUAAUGGUGUCCAUUUCAUCACACCCUUAAAACACUCAGCUUUAACAAACAUGCAGAUUUUUGCUGAUGUGGGAGAAAAUAUUAAUUAUUAAUGAUAUUAAGGUGAUUAUCUUUUCGUAUGUUUAUAGAUAUUUGUAUUUCUUUUUAAAUGAACUGCUCAUGACCUUUGUCUACUUUUAUUUGGGUUUACUUCUUUCUCAUUUAUUCCUAUAAACUCUUUAUAAAAGGAAAUUAACCAUUUGAUUGUCAUAUGUUGUGAAUAUUUUUACCAUUUUGACUUUUGAAUUUAUGUCUUUUUAAUGAAUUGUAGAAGUUUAAAAUCUUUAUGGAAUAAAUUUAUUUAGUUUUUUGUUUAUGG